AAGAUCUCUAAGCCCAAUACAUAUAAACUUUGCCACAUAUUUCCACUAAAACCCAUAAAAAUACAAGGCCCACAGGUUUGUACACUAUAAGCCCAAGGAUCAAUAGGUAGCACCCAAAAUCCUCAGCCACAGCAACAAGGAAAGAAGAACCAUCUACCGGCGGAGGAGAGAGACAAACGAAGGGGACUUUACAUCCUUCCAUGAGAAGAUGGAUAAAAGGGAGACCUAACAACAACAAAGAGGAAGCAACUCCCUCCCAUGACUUCAUUUCCCUAGACCAAACGAAACAGCUCCACUAGAAACAUGGGAAAUAUGCAUCAAAGCCAUAGAAACCGCAUAGGCUGGGACCUUGGCCCGAUGACACCAAGAAAUAGCAUGGUGACAAAUGAAAUCCGAACAAACCAUCGGCACUUCCAUAAAAGCUAGCUAGAAGGAAGCAUCUCACACAUCAUGAUGAUCUUUA
rnacentral:misc_RNA from 1 species